rnacentral:rRNA from 1 species
UAGGGAAUCUUCGGCAAUGGGGGGAACCCUGACCGAGCAACGCCGCGUGAGUGAAGAAGGUUUUCGGAUCGUAAAGCUCUGUUGUUAAGGAAGAACGAGUGUGAGAAUGGAAAGUUCAUACUGUGACGGUACUUAACCAGAAAGGGACGGCUAACUACGUGCCAGCAGCCGCGGUAAUACGUAGGUCCCGAGCGUUGUUCGGAUUUAUUGGGCGUAAAGCGAGCGCAGGCGGUUAGAUAAGUCUGAAGUUAAAGGCAGUGGCUCAACCAUUGUAGGCUUUGGAAACUGUUUAACUUGAGUGCAGAAGGGGAGAGUGGAAUUCCAUGUGUAGCGGUGAAAUGCGUAGAUAUAUGGAGGAACACCGGUGGCGAAAGCGGCUCUCUGGUCUGUAACUGACGCUGAGGCUCGAAAGCGUGGGGAGCGAACAGGAUUAGAUACCCUGGUAGUCCACGCCGUAAACGAUGAGUGCUAGGUGUUAGGUCCUUUCCGGGACUUAGUGCCGCAGCUAACGCAUUAAGCACUCCGCCUGGGGAGUACGACCGCAAGGUUG